ACAGAGGUCCCGAGCGUUGUUCGGAUUCACUGGGCGUAAAGGGUGCGUAGGCGGUUCGUUAAGUCUGUCGUGAAAUCCCCGGGCUCAACCUGGGAAUGGCGAUGGAUACUGGCGAGCUAGAGUGUGUCAGAGGAUGGUGGAAUUCCCGGUGUAGCGGUGAAAUGCGUAGAGAUCGGGAGGAACAUCAGUGGCGAAGGCGGCCAUCUGGGACAACACUGACGCUGAAGCACGAAAGCGUGGGGAGCAAACAGGA
rnacentral:rRNA from 1 species